rnacentral:rRNA from 1 species
GAUGAACGCUAGCGGCAGGCCUAACACAUGCAAGUCGAGGGGUAACAUAGAAAAGCUUGCUUUUCUGAUGACGACCGGCGCACGGGUGCGUAACGCGUAUACAACCUACCUUUUAGCGGGGAAUAGCCCAGGGAAACUUGGAUUAAUGCCCCAUAGUAUAUAGACUUCUCCUGAAGUUUAUAUUAAACAUUUAUGGCUAUUAGAUGGGUAUGCGUCCUAUUAGUUAGUUGGUAAGGUAACGGCUUACCAAGGCAGCGAUAGGUAGGGGUCCUGAGAGGGAGAUCCCCACACUGGUACUGAGACACGGACCAGACUCCUACGGGAGGCGGCAGUGAGGAAUAUUGGACAAUGGGCGAGAGCCUGAUCCAGCCAUGCCGCGUGCAGGAAGACUGCCCUAUGGGUUGUAAACUGCUUUUACAGAGGAAGAACCACCCCCACGUGUGGGGGUUUGACGGUACUCUGCGAAUAAGGAUCGGCUAACUCCGUG